rnacentral:rRNA from 1 species
GACGGAGGGUGCAAGCGUUAUCCGGAUUCACUGGGUUUAAAGGGUGCGUAGGAGGGCAGGUAAGUCAGUGGUGAAAUCCUGGGGCUCAACCCCAGAACUGCCGUUGAUACUAUCUGUCUUGAAUAUGGUGGAGGUGAGCGGAAUAUGUCAUGUAGCGGUGAAAUGCUUAGAUAUGACAUAGAACACCAAUUGCGAAGGCAGCUCGCUACACCUAUAUUGACUCUGAGGCACGAAAGCGUGGGGAUCAAACAGG